GGAAUAUUGGACAAUGGACGCAAGUCUGAUCCAGCCAUCCCGCGUGCAGGAUGAAUGCCCUACGGGUUGUAAACUGCUUUUAUUUGGGAAGAAACGAAUUCAUUGAUGAGUUCCUGACGGUACCAUAUGAAUAAGCACCGGCUAACUCCGUGCCAGCAGCCGCGGUAAUACGGAGGGUGCAAGCGUUAUCCGGAAUCACUGGGUUUAAAGGGUGCGUAGGCGGCACGGUAAGUCAGAGGUGAAAUCCUGCAGCUCAACUGUAGAAUUGCCUUUGAUACUGCUGUGCUUGAAUUAGGUUGAGGUUAGCGGAAUGUGACAUGUAGCGGUGAAAUGCAUAGAUAUGUCAUAGAACACCAAUUGCGAAGGCAGCUGGCUAGACCUUAAUUGACGCUGAGGCACGAAAGCGUGGGGAGCGAAC
rnacentral:rRNA from 1 species